CCCCUUCAGCUCGCUCUUUCGUCCUCCUUCCCUGAGGCCCUCUGCGCCAUGGCCUUGGCAUUGGCGGCGCUGGCGGCUGUGGAGCCGGCUUGCGGCAGCGGGUCCCACCAGUUGCAGAAUGAAGAGGAGCCGGGGGAACCCCAGCAGACUGCAGGUGAUGCUCCUCCACCACACAGCAGCAUUUCUGCGGAGAGUGCAGCAUAUUUUGACUACAAAGGCGAAUCUGGGUUUCCAAAGCCCCCAUCUUACAACGUGGCUACAACUCUGCCCAGUGUUGAGGCUGAGAGAACCAAGACUGAGGCCACGAUCCCAUUGGUUGCUGGAAGAGAUGAAGAUUUUGUGGGUUGGGAUGAUUUUGAUGUUACUGACCAGCUGAGGAUAGGAAACGAUGGGAUUUUUAUGUUAACUUUUUUCAUGGUAUUCCUCUUCAACUGGAUUGGGUUUUUCUUGUCUUUUUGCCUGACCACCUCGGCUGCGGGAAGGUGUGGGGCCACCUCAGGAUUUGGUCUCUCUCUAAUUAAGUGGAUCCUUAUUGUCAGGUUUUCCACCUAUUUCCCUGGAUACUUUGAUGGCCAGUACUGGCUCUGGUGGGUGUUCUUGGUUUUAGGCUUUCUCUUGUUUCUCCGAGGAUUUAUCAAUUAUGCAAAAGUUCGGAAGAUGCCAGAAACUUUCUCAUUCUCCCGAGGACCAGAGUUCUCUUUAUUUAUUGAAGAUGUUUUCUGGCAAAGGCCUUCAUGCACUGAUGAAGUCCUUCGAGAAGCAAAAGAGCA